GAUGAACGCUGGCGGCGUGCUUAACACAUGCAAGUCGAACGAAGCACUUUAUUUGAUUUCCUUCGGGACUGAUUAUUUUGUGACUGAGUGGCGGACGGGUGAGUAACGCGUGGGUAACCUGCCUUGUACAGGGGGAUAACAGUUGGAAACGGCUGCUAAUACCGCAUAAGCGCACAGCAUCGCAUGAUGCAGUGUGAAAAACUCCGGUGGUAUAAGAUGGACCCACGUUGGAUUAGCUAGUUGGUGAGGUAACGGCCCACCAAGGCGACGAUCCAUAGCCGACCUGAGAGGGUGACCGGCCACAUUGGGACUGAGACACGGCCCAAACUCCUACGGGAGGCAGCAGUGGGGAAUAUUGCACAAUGGGCGAAAGCCUGAUGCAGCGACGCCGCGUGAGCGAAGAAGUAUUUCGGUAUGUAAAGCUCUAUCAGCAGGGAAGAUAAUGACGGUACCUGACUAAGAAGCACCGGCUAAAUACGUG
rnacentral:rRNA from 1 species